GCAAACUGGGGUGUGGUCUGUUCCUGUACUUUAGGUGCAGUCAAACUGUUUUUGACAGGUAGAGAAGCAAACAAUCAAAUCCAGCACGGUUGGGAUCAUAAUGGAUUCGAAUCAGCCAUCAACUUUGAGUACAAAUGAGACGGAGGAUGCACAGAAGAAGAAAGAUAAUGAGAAGGGGCAAGGCAAGCACAAGUCUGAAGGCAAAGAAGAGUCCAAGGAUGGACAUGGACCUGGACAUGGACACAGACCUGGACUUGGACAUGGACACGGUCGCGGUCAGGGCCACGGCCAUGAUAAGUGAAGAAGAUAAGAAGACUUUGAAUGUUCUUGAUUAAGAAGGGGAAAUAAGAGGAUCCUCUUCAUCCUAUGAUGAGGUGAAGUAUACCCGCUUCUGUUUAAUAAUUAGAGAUUUCACAAUCCAACCAAUUUAAUUUGUUUUGUUCUGGUUUUAGUAAUUACUUACCUCUAUUUUUCAACAUGAGAAAAUAAAUUACAUUCUUUAUCCUGUGUAACUACGUUCUAUCUAGA